GUUUUCUUCUUCUUUUAGUCUCGUCUUCUUCUUCUCCCGGAACAACACCAGCAAGCAUUUCACUUGUAUACCUGUGUGUCGCUCUGGCUAAUCUCAAGUUUAAUUCUGGCUUCUAAUACUAAGAUGGCAGGAAGGCGAAUUGGUAGAAGGCGAAGAUUAAACAUGAUAGCUGUGGCAAAACCUAUCAAGUUUAGUCUCAUGAGCAAGAUCAACAGAUUCAACAGACGGAGGAAACCUCAUGGCCUGAAAAAGAACCAUGGCGAGGAGAGCAAGAAGAAAAGUAGAGGUAUCACUAAUGUUAAAGUAGACGAUGAUAUAGUUUAUGAGAUACUUGGCAGAUUACCGGUUAAAUCACUUAUGCAGUUAAAAUGCGUGUCUAAACAUUGGUGUUCCAUGAUUCAAAAUGAUCGGUAUUUAAUCGAUUUACACCAUAGUCGAUCAAAAUUAAGACCGUGUCUCCUUAUUACAGUUCCAAGAGCAAGCGAGGAUUACAAGGAUUACAAAGAGGAAAAGCAUGAUAACGUGUUUGAUCCCAUUGGUAAUUUUUUGGUAAUUGCUGAUCUAAUGUUUGAAGGCGGGGAAGUGUCAGCGGCAGUAGUUCGUACUAUAAUGGAGAUGGAUACGCCAUCAUCUAGAUUUUCAGAACCUUUAAAUGGUUUGAUAUGCUUAUUUGACCCUGAAAAGAAUCAUAGUGUUCAAUUGUGCAAUCUUAGUACCCGUCAAUUUACACCAUGGAUUAAAUCAUCAUUCAUAUCCAACUUAAAUGUUAAAGAUAAAGACAAGUAUCGGUUACGCACUGGGAUGUGUAAUUUGGGAUUCGACCCUGCCACUAAGGAGCACAAAGUGGUUUGUAUUUGGACUAUACAUCACCAUCAAGUUUGCGAAGUGUUGACGGUUGGAGAUGGGAAAUGGAGAAUUACUGAUGUCCUGCCAGUAAACAAUUUCACAGAAUUGUAUGGUUCUGGAGCUUCUAUUUAUGUGAAUGGUUCCAUAUAUUACAGCCCAUGGAAGCUAAAGUGUUCUCUCGUUAAGGAUACUAAGCCUAAAUUCAUUGUGGCAUUUGAUGUUGGGAAGGAGAAAUUUAGAGCCAUCCGAAUUCCUGAUUUCAUUCUUGACCAGAUUCCGCGAUUUCAACCCUUCGAAAUUGAUGGUCAUCCAGCUCUGUUAAGCAUCAUAAGAAGUAACAAUGCCAAGAUAUGGUUAUUUGACGAUGAUUACAACAAUGGUUGUAGAAGUAAUACUUGGAAUGAAGUUACUAUUGAAUUGCCCUUCCAUUGGGGACAUGGAGACCAUGGGAGGAACAGUCAGUAUUCUGUUCAUUUUCGUUCGGUCAUAGGUACAGACUUUAUAAUCCUAUACUUGUAUCGCUGUAACAUGGUUGCGGAUGGUUAUCAUUAUGCAACUGCAGUCUCUCAAUAUUCUUACAAUUGGAAGAAAAAGAUUUUUACGGAGAAUAAAAUCAAUGGGCUCCCAUCCUCAGUUCCGUAUCUUCAAUUUGUAUCCUGUUUAUCAACUUUCGCGGAGAGUCUUUUACCUGUUCUAUAGCUACCAAACAACACGCAAGACCUUGGCAAGUAUGUAAUGCUGGAUUUGUUAAUCAACAAUUAUGGUGCUCGCUUUUGACAUGCAGUGAAAUCUAAGGAUCCUGUCUGAUACUGCUCGUUGCUUUAGUCCGGUUGUUAUAAUCACAUGUUGGUGCAGUUUAUCCUCUGAUGAAGUCCUUGGCGGUUGGAGGACUUGGGACAUCAGGUACCUAAAUAGCCUUUAGUUUAUAUACUGAUAAGGCGUUCAAGAAACAAGUGCUUUUGCAUAGCCAUAUCUGUGGCUUAUUACUUGUUAUGUGCUUAUGGAUCCAACAAGUGCUUCAACCUUUCGGUUGUGUUCGCUUCAUGAUUACUAUUGAGAGUGGAUACUUUUUUCCUCCCCUAGCUCCUAAGAAGCACAAAGUGGUUUGGGUAAGUGGAGGCAUAUCAAAGAGCUCCUCCCGUGCAAAUUUGCUUAAACUUAUUACUUAAACUUAAACUGAAGUGUUGAGAGUUGGGUCGCACGGAAAAUGGUAGGGUGUCCAAUGCGAUACUGAUAUGAUUCCAAUAGUCUGACACGACAUUCUGAAUCUUAUAAAUACAUACUUUCACCUUAAAAAUAUGGUGUCGGUGUUGGAUCAUUAUCUCGGUGAUUAUGUGAAUGGUUCUAUAUAUUAUCUAACAAUGUUUUAUAAUAAAUAUUCGUUGU